GGUCCGCUAAGUGCGGCACAAAUGCAUGACACGCGGCUGCGGAAGGCAGUGCGCUUAGGAAGCCCGCCGCGGCGGCAUGCCGAAUUGAAGGCGUUGAUUUAGGAGCAUAUAGACAGCAGCCGCGGGAGGCGGUGUGCUUGUAGAAAAGCCGCCGCGGCGGUCCGCUAAGUGCGGCACAAAUGCAUGACACGCGGCUGCGGAAGGCAGUGCGCUUAGGAAGCCCGCCGCGGUGGCAUGCUGAAUUGAAGGCGUUGAUUUAGGAGCAUAUAGACAGCGGCCGCGGGAGGCGGUGUGCUUGUAGAAAAGCCGCUGCGGCGGUCCGCUAAGUGCGGCACAAAUGCAUGACACGCGGCUGCAGAAGGCAGUGCGCUUAGGAAGCCCGCCGCGGCGGCACGCCGAAUUGAAGGUGUUGAUUUAGGAGCAUAUAGACAGCGGCCGCGGGAGGCGGUGCGCUUGUAGAAAAGCCGCUGCGGCGGUCCGCUAAGUGCGGCACAAAUGCAUGACACGCGGCUGCGGAAGGCAGUGCGCUUAGGAAGCCCGCCGCGGCGGCACGCCGAAUUGAAGGUGUUGAUUUAGGAGCAUAUAGACAGCGGCCGCGGGAGGCGGUGCGCUUGUAGAAAAGCCGCUGCGGCGGUCCGCUAAGUGCGGCACAAAUGCUAUGACACGCGGCUGCGGAAGGCAGUGCGCUUAGGAAGCCCGCCGCGGUGGCAUGCUGAAUUGAAGGCGUUGAUUUAGGAGCAUAUAGACAGCGGCCGCGGGAGGCGGUGUGCUUGUAGAAAAGCCGCUGCGGCGGUCCGCUAAGUGCGGCACAAAUGCAUGACACGCGGCUGCGGAAGGCAGUGCGCUUAGGAAGCCCGCCGCGGCGGCACGCCGAAUUGAAGGUGUUGAUUUAGGAGCAUAUAGACAGCGGCCGCGGGAGGCGGUGUGCUUGUAGAAAAGCCGCUGCGGCGGUCCGCUAAGUGCGGCACAAAUGCAUGACACGCGGCUGCAGAAGGCAGUGCGCUUAGGAAGCCCGCCGCGGCGGCACGCCGAAUUGAAGGUGUUGAUUUAGGAGCAUAUAGACAGCGGCCGCGGGAGGCGGUGCGCUUGUAGAAAAGCCGCUGCGGCGGUCCGCUAAGUGCGGCAUGAAAUGCAUGACACGCGGCUGCGGAACGCAGGGCACAGGAAGCCCGACCUCUAUGGUCACGCCGAAUUGAAGGUGUUCCCUUUGGCCGUAAGUUUACUUCAUCACUUAUCUCGUUGGAAGUGCGAGGUAGGAUGGUGCUUAUAGGCGAUUUGUCAGCCCUUGAGCCCUCGGCUCGUACUAGGGUGGUUUGCAGGUACGGGGAACGCACCCACGGACAUGUAACAACAACAAGUGCGGCACAAAUGCAUGACAAGCGGCUGCGGAAGACAGUGCGCUUAGGGAGCCCGCAGUGGCGGCAAGCCGAACGGAAGGCGUUGAUUUAGGAGCAUAUAGAAGGUGACAGCGGAGGGCGGUCCACUUGUAGAAACACCGCUGCGGCAGUCCGAUAGUGCGGCACCAAUUGCAUGAUAAGAGGCUGUAGAAGGCAGCGCACUUAGGAAGCCCGCCGAGGCGGCACACCGAACUGACGGCUUUAUGAUUUAAGAAUGUGUAGACGGCGACC
rnacentral:lncRNA from 1 species